rnacentral:misc_RNA from 1 species
ACAUAAAUGUAACGAAAGAAACUGCAAAAGGAGUUCAUACUGCAGUCUAGCAACUGCCACAUAAAAAUCCUGCUCUCUUCAGCAAAUUUGUUUCAACAGAAACCUCCAAACGACUGAAAGUAAAACACGAUUAAGUACUGAAAUGAAAUUCAACCCAACAGAUCACCAACCAGUACAGUUAUACACAGCACUAUUGUCUUUGAGGAUAUAAACCUGUAAUGCCUAACAAAUGAUAAAACUCCAAAACGGAAAGAACUUCAUAGGUCCAUGGACUUGGUUCCUUCACUUCUCGCCAUCCCUAGCAUGUUAGAAGCCCAUGGACUCGUCUGCAGCAGAGAAAACCUGUAUACAAGACCAUUGUAAGCUGCUAUGUAAAGGUAGGCACGACCACUGCAAAGCAGGAACCUUUUAACCUGCAAAACCUUGGAUUAACAUCAAUCUUAUAAGAAUGACAAACUCUAUGAAUUAGCCUAGGAAGAGAGAAGCCCCUAGACUGUAGACAACUAACAAAUCUAAGGUGGGCAGAAAUCUUGGAAGGGCUAUGUUUCUACUCCCAAUCACUUUAAUCAAAUGUUCCAUUUUCAGGAAGAACGAACCAGCGAGAGAAAAAAAUCAUUUGAUCAGAGGCCCUAAAGUUAAAAAGCUGUUCUACAAAUUAACAGAUGCUAUAUUACCGUUGGCUGGUUCCCUAUAUAAGAAAUAAAUAGUUGUCAAUAUGAGACAGGAAAAAGGACAUUGGAAAAAUUAACAAGAAAAAUUGAGCACUGCAAGCUUCACUGUGCAAGCAACGGAUGCAUCAGAGACGGGAAAAAUGGCAGUGUUUCUAAGUAGGCCUCACUAUGAUCCCUGUUAAACAAAGUCCUGUACUUAAAAAUUUUGGUAAAAAGAAGAUAAAAGAUGGGUAACACUUUUCAAAAUCAUAGGACAGUGGACCUGUACUCCACCCUGCACAGUGGAAAAUGGACAGUGAGCUAUACUUCUGCAAUGUGCCACUAAGAUUGAAAGACAUUCAGGUGAAACAAUAAGUAUGAUGGAAGUGCCACUAACCAGAGCAACACUACCAUAGCAGCAGCCAUCACUUCCAUUUUCUACCUACUGCUGCUUCGGGUAACCAUCAUCAAACUGUUCUCCAUAGUGAUCACCACCAUCAUUCCUGCCAUUGUCAGCGUCAAAAUUACCAUAUUUAGCAGAAUCUGCCUCUUCUUUCUCCCUGUUCCAUUGCUCAAUCUUUGCCCUCCUCUCAGCACUGCCUUCCCUGUCUUCCCUACGUGCCCCACCGCCAUGAUUCCUCCCAGAUCCUGUCUCUUCCUUUUCUCUGUUCCAUUGUUCAAUCUUUGCUCUUCUCUCCUCACUUCCUUCCCUAAUUGGACUUCUAUUUCUCCUGCCCCCAGGACUUCUGCUGUGUCCACUCCUUCGUCCAGGACUUCUGCUUCUAGGCCUCCUACCUCUAUCAUGGUAGCGAUCACCACCUCCUCCACCUCCUCUUCUACCAAAACCACGACCUCCCUGUGGGCGCUGCUCUUCAUAAUUGCGAUUACCACGCGGACUUCGGCUUCUACUAUGACUGCGCCUUCGCCUACUGCUCUUCCCAAAUAAUUGCCGCCUCAACUCCCUGCUUAUCUUUUUCAGAUGCAUGAAGUUGCAAUAGCCGCCUCGGUUACAUACAUUUUCCUCAUACUGCCUA